CAUCACUCUGCUCCCUUCACCCCCUGAAAUCCAUGUGGAAUUAUAUAGGUCUCCUUCUGGAGCUUUCAGAGCCUGGGCUCUUGUGCAUAAAUCAGUCCAGAAAUUGGAGCCUUUUUAUUAGACUAUAUCUGGAUUUUUUCAGUUAAAGGAAGCAGAUUCCGAAAACGAGUCCAGCAUUUGUGACAUAUUAGCAGAAAAUUAGCUGGAAAGUACGAAAGCAUGUAGUUAUAAAUAAAGGCAAUGAAGAAAGAAGAUUCUAUUAAGCACCAAAAUGAUCAUGAGCAGUAAUACUUACUUGCUUUAGGCUCUUUUAACCACAUUUUUCCAUUCCAGUUUCCAUCCAUUAAUUUAAAAUAAGUGUGCAUUUUCUCCACUACACUACAGUAGGGUUUUUUGUUAUUGUUGUUGUUUUCUUUUGUUUUUAGCUAUAAUUGUUGCCAUGGUUAUCACAAGGACGUUUUAAAUGUAAAGAAUGCACAAAAUUGAUUUUUUUUUGGGUUCAGCCUGAAACGCUUAAAACUCUCAACACCUGUGGGUGUCAGCCCUAGUUAAUGAACGCUCUCUGCUCAGCCACGUUUCAUGUUGGUUUUUUCCACAGAGAGUCUGCAGGGUGAAAUGUGCACUUGGCACACAAGGACGAGACGCAGGCAGUCAGUGCACAGAGGAAGCACCGCUGCGUGCAGGACUGGCAGGACGUGCCAGGGCAGGACUUUUUUCUUACUCAACCUCACAAUAGAGACUGUACAAUUGAAAAUAAUAUUCAGUCCAUGGGAUAGAAAGGAAGAAAAGACCAGACUUUCCCUGUUUAUGUACAGCUUGCUGGAUGUAGUAUCAAAUGGAUUCCAGCUUUUAUACCACACUGUUUGUGCAGCCCACAAAAGAAGCAGAAGGUGUCAAAAUGUUUGA
rnacentral:lncRNA from 1 species